UUGGCUCUUUUAAAAAUAUCUUCCCUCCCUUUUUUCUUAUAGCAUUUUUACUCAUGCUUUGUUGGCUGCUCAUAGAUUGGGGUUACAGGAAAUACUUUACACAAAAUAAAAAUGAAAACGUGGAGACGCUUACUGAAGUUACAUCAAAGCCUACUGAAGUAAUAUCAGAUCAAAAUAAAAAUGAGGAGCCGAUUAUCGAAGAUUUAUCAGAUUGGGAAUAAUAUUGGCUGCAAGAGUCUCCUUCUGUUUUAAGAAAGGGACUCUUCUGAUUUGAGGAAGAUUCUCAAUAAUGCCUAAUAAGCUUAAUACAUACCCUUACAUGAAGAAAUUAUGUGUAUCCACGACUAUGAUGUGAGUAGUUACGUGCUGCUGGGACAAUGGUGCCAUUUUUUACAGAUGCUUUCAUGUCACUUUGUGGCUUCUCUGCUAUCAAGUCUUCAGUGUUUGAGAAAGGAAACUUGCAAUCUCUUAUAAUUCUACAUGGUCAAAUGAGUGUUCCUUAUAGUUUUGCUAAUUUGCAUUCAGCCGUAUUUUUUCUGUAAUUUUCCUUAUUUUUUUAAAGAAAUCUAACAAAUAAAAAUAGUGUCAAAAUAAAAAAAUCAAAUACAAAAAUAAU